CACGUAGGGGGCAAGCGUUGUCCGGAUUUAUUGGGCGUAAAGAGCUCGUAGGCGGCUCAGUAAGUCAGGUGUGAAACCUCCAGGCUCAACCUGGAGACGCCACCUGAUACUGCUGUGGCUAGAGUCCGGUAGGGGAGCGUGGAAUUCCUGGUGUAGCGGUGAAAUGCGCAGAUAUCAGGAGGAACACCAGCGGCGAAGGCGGCGCUCUGGGCCGGAACUGACGCUGAGGAGCGAAAGCCAGGGGAGCAAACGGG
rnacentral:rRNA from 1 species